UACGUAGGGGGGCUAGCGUUGUCCGGAAUCAUUGGGCGUAAAGCGCGUGUAGGCGGCCCGGUAAGUCCGCUGUGAAAAGUCGGGGGGCUCAACCCUCGGAUGCCGGUGGAGUACUGUCGGGCUCGAGUACGGAAGAGGCGAGUGGAAUUCCUGGUGCAGCGGUGAAAUGCGCAGAUAUCAAGGAGGAACACCAAUUGCGAAGGCAGCUCGCUGGGACGUUACUGACGCUGAGACGCGAAAGCGUGGGGAGCAAACAGG
rnacentral:rRNA from 1 species